rnacentral:rRNA from 1 species
UACGGGGGGAGCAAGCGUUGUUCGGAUUUACUGGGCGUAAAGGGCGCGUAGGCGGUUCGUACAGUCAGACGUGAAAUUCCUGGGCUCAACCUGGGGGCUGCGUUUGAUACGUGCGGACUUGAGUGCGGAAGAGGGUCGUGGAAUUCCCAGUGUAGAGGUGAAAUUCGUAGAUAUUGGGAAGAACACCGGUGGCGAAGGCGGCGACCUGGUCCGAUACUGACGCUGAGGCGCGAAAGCGUGGGGAGC